rnacentral:rRNA from 1 species
GACGAACGCUGGCGGCGUGCUUAACACAUGCAAGUCGAGCGGAAAGGCUCCUUCGGGGGUACUCGAGCGGCGAACGGGUGAGUAACACGUGAGUAAUCUGCCCUCCACUUUGGGAUAGCCACCGGAAACGGUGAUUAAUACCGGAUAUGACCUGAUGCCGCAUGGUGUUGGGUGGAAAGUUUUUCGGUGGGGGAUGUGCUCGCGGCCUAUCAGCUUGAUGGUGGGGUAAUGGCCUACCAUGGCUUCGACGGGUAGCCGGCCUGAGAGGGUGACCGGCCACACUGGGACUGAGACACGGCCCAGACUCCUACGGGAGGCAGCAGUGGGGAAUAUUGGACAAUGGGCGGAAGCCUGAUCCAGCAACGCCGCGUGAGGGAUGACGGCCUUCGGGUUGUAAACCUCUUUCAGCACAGACGAAGCGAAAGUGACGGUAUGUGCAGAAGAAGCACCGGCCAACUACGUGCCAGCCGCCGCCGUAACAC